ACGGCGAGUGAAGCGGGAAGAGCUCAAAUUUGUAAUCCGACGGUCCCCCGCGGCCGUCCGAGUUGUAAUCUGGAGAAGCGUUUUCGAGCGCCGGCCCGCGUACAAGUCCCCUGGAACGGGGCGUCGCAGAGGGUGAGAAUCCCGUCCCCGACGCGGUCCCGCCGGCGCGUUGCGAUGCGCUCUCGAAGAGUCGAGUUGUUUGGGAAUGCAGCUCAAAACGGGUGGUAAAUUCCAUCUAAAGCUAAAUACCGGCGAAAGACCGAUAGCGAACAAGUACCGUGAGGGAAAGAUGAAAAGCACUUUGGAAAGAGAGUCAAACAGUACGUGAAAUUGUCGAAAGGGAAACGCUCGGAGUCAGUCGCGUCCGCCGGGACUCAGUCGCGCGCCUCGCGGGGCGCGACGUAUUUCCCGAGUCCGGACGGGCCAGCGUCGAUUUCGACCGUCGCAGAAAGCCGUCGGGAAAGUGGCGCCUCAGGGCGCGUUAUAGACCGUCGGUGGGACGCGCGGCGGACGGGAUCGAGGGACGCAGCGCGCCCCCCGCCCUUCGGGGUGGGGGGCCGGGGUUCGCCCACGUAACGCGCUUGGGACGCUGGCUUAAUGGCUUCGAGCGACCCGUCUUGAAACACGGACCAAGGAGUCUAACAUGCUCGCGAGUGUUCGGGUGGAAAACCCGCGCGCGCAAUGAAAGUGAAAGGUUGGGACCCCCCUCCUCGAGAGCGCGGGGGCACCGACGCCCGGACCUGAGCUGCUGCGACGGUUCCGAGGCGGAGCGCGCAUGCUGGGACCCGAAAGAUGGUGAACUAUGCCUGAGUAGGGCGAAGCCAGAGGAAACUCUGGUGGAGGCUCGUAGCGAUUCUGACGUGCAAAU
rnacentral:rRNA from 1 species